rnacentral:lncRNA from 1 species
CCUAAUCCCUUAAAUUAUAGACUUAGAGGCUUGAGACAGGCAAGAAAGGCUGCUAUCUGCUCAAAACCCUGCUUUCCCUUUCUAUUGUCUAAUAAUUUCUAACGUAUACUUCUUUCAAAAAUUUCAAGUUUACUUAGUUGUUGCGGAUUCACAAAUCAUGACUACUCUGCUGAGCGUGAUUGCCCUGGAAUUGGCUCCUUCUAUAAGCGUAAUGAAUCUGGUGGAGAAAGUGGAGUGGUAGCUCGUAUUGAAGAGUAGCUUGUACAUGUGCACAUUUUUCCAAUUGAUGAUCUUGGUUAAUCUUAAUUUUUCCAGUUUCCAUAGUGAAUGAAGAUGACUUCAUUAUUUUUUUAUUCUUUGUUCUUUUGAUAUUCUUUACUUCUUAUAAUUUAGAAAUACUUUAGAAGUUAUCGAAAAGACAAAGAAAAAAAACUUUAGAAGUUAUAGACAAAGAUGUUGAAGCUUGAUCCAUAAAAAUAAAUCAAGAUAUUUAGUGUAGGAUGUGAAGGCGAGAUGAGCAAGUUACAUUCGUAAAGAAAGCUUACUUGCAGCAUAUUUGUUGAAAACUCGAAAGCACCUGAAUCAUUUAUAUUAAAAUACUCUAUUUUAUCAACUUAAGUGUUUAUACUUAAGUCUUCUGUUUUCUAUAGUUUUUGCAUAAGUAAAUAUAAGAGUUCUAUGUUUAUACGUUUUCUAGCAUAAUAGGAUUUACCUCUACAUGUUUCUGCAUACGGUUCUGCAUAUAAUAGUUGUUCUAAUUUUCCAUAGUUUCUGCGUUGCUUUAGAAAUUGAGAAGUGAGAAACAUCCAUAUUAGUUUCUACAGGGAUGUUUGAACUAAGAAAAUUACCAUUAAGCAGUAGUUCUGUUUCUAAUUUCCAUGACUAACAGUGGGAGUUCUUCAUUGUUGUGUGCAAAUUAAGUGUUCUGUCACAGAGUUGUAUUUACAAAUGAUGUUUUGAGCAGGUUGAAGAUUUUAGGAUAGACAUAUUUACAAAAGAAACUCUGCUGAAAAAUAUAAGAAUUUAGAAAGUUUGAAAAUUUUCAAGUUAUCAAAUUAUUCAAUUACAUUGUAAUUCAAUUAUCCUAAAAAUUUUGUUUAAUUAUUUCUGAUUGUGUUUUGUAGGUGCAGUAAUUGUGGAUAAAAGCAGUGACGAAUACCUUACUUGAUUGUUGUUGAUCGUUGUUAGACUUUCUAUUAUUAUGUUUAAGGAUAUUUUAGUUUAGAACUUUUUGUAUGCAAGCUCAUCUAUUUUGACUUUGAAUUAUUAGACCAAACAAUGUACCCACAUUUUGUUUUUAUACAUGGAUAAUGCUAA